rnacentral:rRNA from 1 species
UACAGAGGUCUCAAGCGUUGUUCGGAUUUACUGGGCGUAAAGGGCGCGUAGGUGGCGUUGCAAGUCGGGUGUGAAAUUUCGGAGCUUAACUCCGAAACUGCAUUCGAUACUGCGGUGCUUGAGGACUGGAGAGGAGACUGGAAUUCAUGGUGUAGCGGUGAAAUGCGUAGAGAUCAUGAGGAAGACCAGUGGCGAAGGCGGGUCUCUGGACAGUACCUGACGCUGAGGCACGAAGGCCAGGGGAGCAAACGGG